rnacentral:rRNA from 1 species
GAUGAACGCUGGCGGCGUGCUUAACACAUGCAAGUCGAACGGACAGGCGAUGCUCUUGCGGGGUGCUCGAGUGGCGAAGGGGUGAGAAAAACGUGAGUAAAAUGCCCUUGACAUUGGGAUAAAUUUAGGAAACUGGGGCUCAUACCGGGUAGGAUCUCCUGAAGCAUGGUGGGGGUUGGAAAGAUUCGGCGGUUGGGGAUGGUCUCGCGGCUUAUCAGCUUGAUGGUGGGGUAGUGGCUUACAAAGGCUUUGACGGGUAGCCGGCCUUGGAGCUUGACCGGCGACAAUGGGACUGAGAUACGCCGCAGAAGGCAACGGGAGGCAGCAGUGGGAAAUAUUGCACAGUGAGCGGAAGCCUGAUGCAGCAACGUCGCGUUCGGGAUGACGGCCUACGGGUUGUAAACCGCUUUCUCCGGUGACGAAGCGGGAGUGACGGUAAUUGGUAAGGAAGCACCGGCUAACUACGUG